GGUAUGUUAGUUAAAAAAAAACGUUAAAUUGUAAAUUUAAAAUUAACUUAGUUACAUGCUA
rnacentral:tRNA from 1 species